rnacentral:rRNA from 1 species
GACGAACGCUGGCGGCAUGCUUAACACAUGCAAGUCGAACGGAAAGGCCCUGCUUUUGUGGGGUGCUCGAGUGGCGAACGGGUGAGUAACACGUGAGUAACCUGCCCUUGACUUUGGGAUAACUUCAGGAAACUGGGGCUAAUAUCGGAUAGGAGCUCCUGCUGCAUGGUGGGGGUUGGAAAAUUUCGGCGGUUGGGGAUGGACUCGCGGCUUAUCAGCUUGUUGGUGGGGUAGUGGCUUACCAAGGCUUUGACGGGUAGCCGGCCUGAGAGGGUGACCGGCCACAUUGGGACUGAGAUACGGCCCAGACUGCUACGGGAGGCAGCAGUGGGGAAUAUUGCACAGUGGGCGGAAGCCUGAUGCAGCAACGCCGCGUGCGGGAUGACGGCCUUCGGGUUGUAAACCGCUUUCGCCUGUGACGAAGCGUGAGUGACGGUAAUGGGUAAAGAAGCACCGGCUAACUACGUG